rfam:Triticum aestivum genome assembly, contig: Triticum_aestivum_CS42_TGACv1_scaffold_082837_1DS
AAAGUACUCCCUUCAUCCCAAAAUUCUUGUCUUAGAUUUGUCUAGAUACGGAUGUAUCAAGUCACAUUUUAGUAUUAGAUACAUUCGUAUCUAGACAAAUCUAAGACAAGAAAUUUGGGACAGGGAGAGUAGUUG